rfam:Halogranum salarium B-1 162.HSB1.1_14, whole genome shotgun sequence.
GCCUGGGAGACCCCCUUGGUGGGGGUGUCGGGCUGUUACCCCGGUUGUGGAAGGUUCGAAUCCUUCCCCAGGCG